GGAAGGUUGGCAGAGCGGUUGAAUGCACCGGUCUUGUUCGAUCGAGCGCUGCUGUGGAAACGCAGCAGAUGUAAGGAGUCAAAGUCGGCGGACCCCCUGGAAACCCGAGGCAACGCCGAGCGAAGCGUGGUCGACACCAUGAACGUGUAGAGACUUGACGGCUCCCGCCUAAGGCCGAACGGCUAAGGCGAAGGCAAAGUCCAGACUCUCAAACAGCCCGCCGGGCUGGUGGCGAAAGCCAUAGGAGUAAGGAAAACCGGCAACGUCGCAAGGCGUUCGUGGGUUCGAAUCCCACACCUUCCGCCA
rnacentral:tRNA from 1 species